CUCUCGGUAGCCAAGUUGGUUUAAGGCGCAAGACUGUAAUGGUAUAACAAGACAUCUUGAGAUCGGGCGUUCGACUCGCCCCCGGGAGA
rfam:Wickerhamomyces anomalus NRRL Y-366-8 unplaced genomic scaffold WICANscaffold_6, whole genome shotgun sequence.